CAGAUGAUGAGCCAGGCACCUGGACCCGCAGCAGAACAAGACCAUCAUGCCACCUGACUGCUCAAGUCCUUCCAGAGAGCAGGGCUGAAAAUCACUUGAGCCAGGCUCGUAUUGCUCCUGCAUCCCACAGGCUGAGUUCCAAGGGAAGUGGUCCUCUCCUGUCCUGAGUGGUCAUCUCUUGUCCUGAGUGGUCAUCUCCUGUCCUGAGUGGUCAUCUCCUGUCCUGCUCACCUGCUCUGUGACUAACUAAGAUGAAGGAGACUUCAUUGGUACAACGAACCUGAAAGAGCUCACUGUUGUAGAGGAAUGUGUCACCCAUUUCCUUGAUGUACUGAGGGGUAAACUGAAGUGCAAACCUCAGCUUGCUGUCAACUCUCAAACCCUGGCUCUUGGCUAAUAGUAUAGCAAGUUAUUGUGGGGUUUGUGAAACAUGAUGUGAGCACCGACUGGCUCACGCCAUCCGCCAAAUCAUCACUGGUCUUCCCAGGUUGGGAACCUCUAGAGGAGAGCUGUAUGGUCAUGGUUUAGAGGCAGCGCUGAGCUCUCUGUCCUGAGCUUCACAUGGUAUCCUGCCAGGAAGGAAGUGUUAAUGGCCCUGGGGUUCACUAAGACUGCAAAGCCAGGCCAUUUGCAUGUGAUGAGUGUGUACCUCCGCUGGGGCCUUAUCACCUGGUUCCAAGCUCAGUGCUCUUUACUCUGGACUAUGAUCCCCCUUUCCUGGAUGUCACAGCCCUUGUGGGAAGAAAAAGUGGGAAGCAGAAGGGUAAAGGCAGAAGCAGAAGGAACGAGAAGAGAGACUUGGGUUUCAGUGGACUGUCUUGAAUUAUCAGGAGAUUUCAAUAUCAGGAGACCUAGCCAGGUACAUCCAGGCCCAAUUAAGGGACUAUCCUACUCCUAAUAAACAUGGGCUCACAGGUUAUGAAGAAUCAAAGGGGGAAACAAGAAGGAUGGCUCAGCAGCUAAGCGCACUUGUUGCUCUUGCAGAGGGCCAGCACCCAUAUCAGAUGGCUCAUGGUAGCCUGUAACUAUAGCUCCUGGAGAUCUGACGCCAUCUUUUGACCUGUACAGGCACCCGUAUGCAUGUGCACAUACACUCACAGACACAUAAGCAUAAAUAAAAAUAUAUCUUUAAAAAAUCAAAAAGAGAA
rnacentral:lncRNA from 1 species